CGCAUCUGUGCAUGCAGCAUAUCAAUAAGCGGAGGAAAAGAAACUAACAAGGAUUCCCCUAGUAACGGCGAGUGAAGCGGGAAGAGCUCAAAUUUGAAAUCUUAAAGGGUUUCCCUUUACGAAUUGUAGUUUAAAGAAGUGUUUUCUGUUGAGGUUUUGGUAAAAGUUCUUUGGAAUAGGACAUCAUAGAGGGUGAGAAUCCCGUAUUUGACCUUUACUUUCAACUUUGUGAUACACUUUCAAAGAGUCGGAUUGUUUGGGAAUGCAGUCCAAAAUGGGUGGUAAAUUUCAUCUAAAGCUAAAUAUUGGCGAGAGACCGAUAGCGAACAAGUACCGUGAGGGAAAGAUGAAAAGAACUUUGAAAAGAGAGUUAAACAGUACGUGAAAUUGUCAAAAGGGAAGCGUUUGACACCAGUGUUGUUUUUCUGAAAAUCAAUUAAAGAACUGUUUAUGCUAAGUUGUUUAGACUUUAUCAGCUAUCUGUUUAGUUUUAGGCUUUUCUUUAAUGCACUUUUCAGUUAACAAGUCAACAUCAAUUUCUUUUGCUGUAAAAAAGCUUGAGGAAGGUGGCUUGAGAUUCGUCUUAGGUGUUUAUAGCCUCUUGCCUAUGCAGUCGGAGAGAUUGAGGUCUGCAGCGUAGAUCCUUCGGGGCUAAAUGCAUUUGUGCUAAGUUAUAGCAUUUUAUAGACAACUUGUUGACUAUGAUUUGUCUUGUAGCUUACUCGCUUAUGUUAUUUUACCUACGCUUAGGAUGUUGAACGCGCACAGAGUCUC
rnacentral:rRNA from 1 species